rnacentral:rRNA from 1 species
GACGAACGCUGGCGGCGUGCCUAACACAUGCAAGUCGAGCGAAUGAAGUUCCUUCGGGAAUGGAUUUAGCGGCGGACGGGUGAGUAACACGUGGGCAACCUGCCUCAUAGAGGGGAAUAGCCUGCCGAAAGGGAGAUUAAUACCGCAUAAGAUUGUAGUACCGCAUGGUACAGCAAUUAAAGGAGCAAUCCGCUAUGAGAUGGGCCCGCGGCGCAUUAGCUAGUUGGUGAGGUAACGGCUCACCAAGGCGACGAUGCGUAGCCGACCUGAGAGGGUGAUCGGCCACAUUGGGACUGAGACACGGCGCAGACGCCUACGGGAGGCAGCAGUGGGGAAUAUUGCACAAUGGGGGAAACCCUGAUGCAGCAACGCCGCGUGAGUGAUGACGGCCUUCGGGUUGUAAAGCUCUGUCUUCAGGGACGAUAAUGACGGUACCUGAGGAGGAAGCCACGGCUAACUACGUGCCAGCCGCCGCUGUAA